AGAGAAUCAGCGCCACCAACGGAGAACAAUCUGAAAAGCGAAGAUGAAGAUGGUUGUGUACGUUGUGGUGGAGUUUUUGGGAGAACACACAGUUAGUGCUGUACCGGAGAUUUGGACUGCAGAGGAUGAAGAGGGACUGUUCUGCUACUGGCC